rnacentral:ncRNA from 1 species
CAGAAGUAUAUCUUAGCUUAGGUUGUCCCUGGAUAGGUGAACAGGAGAUUCCUAGGAUGACUAGCAUUUAAGGUAUAGAAAGAUUUAUGAAAUAGGAGUGCCAGCACUGGCGGUUAAACUCCAGAGUCAAGUUAAAAAUUGGAAUAUAAAAUUCUAAUUAAUUUCAUUUAUCGCCAGAGACUAAGGGUGAAAUCUAAAAUUUAACGAAGAAAAUUCUAGAAUUUUGUGGAAUUGAGGAAAUAAACCAGGAUUAGAUACCCUGUUAUUCCCAAAACGAAAAGGAGUAUACACCUAUUUGUGUAAAAAAUAAAACGUCAUGGCGGUUAGAGAAAUUUUUGAGGCACAUGCGUAUAAAAAGACAACACACUAAGAUCUUUCUUUCACCAAAACCUCGAAUAUAGCCGUCUGAAGGGCAUAGCGAAAGGGCUGUCCCGAAAUAAAGCAGGCUUAGCUUGGACAUUUGAAAAUAAGACAGGUAUUCAUCCGGGAUUAAAAUGUGAAAGUUUGCGUGUGUGCCAAUUGAAGAAAAUUUAAUUGCCUUUGUAAUAAGGCUUAAAUAAGAGAAUUUAAAAGUAACAAAUAUUCAUAAAAUAUUGGUGAAGAGAUCAAUCUCUAAUGCUCAUAUCGCCCGUCAGCUUAUCCCGUGAGGGAUAGCAAGUCGUAACAAAGUAAUAUUACUGGAAAGUGAUAUUUUUCCCUA